rnacentral:rRNA from 1 species
ACGCUCGACACCUACGGGAGGCAGCAGGUGGGGAAUAUUGCACAAUGGGGGAAACCCUGAUGCAGCGACGCCGCGUGAGCGAAGAAGUAUUUCGGUAUGUAAAGCUCUAUCAGCAGGGAAGAAACUGACGGUACCUGACUAAGAAGCACCGGCUAAAUACGUGCCAUCAGCCGCGGUAAUCUGAGCGGGCUGGCAAGGC